rnacentral:tRNA from 1 species
GAGCGAUGGCAGAGAGGUCGAACGCGGCGGUCUUGAAAACCGUUAUACCUUCGGGUAUCGGGGGUUCAAAUCCCUCUCGCUCC